GAUGAACGCUGGCGGCGUGCCUAAUACAUGCAAGUCGAGCGAACAGACGAGGAGCUUGCUCCUUCGACGUUAGCGGCGGACGGGUGAGUAACACGUAGGUAACCUACCUAUAAGACUGGGAUAACUUCGGGAAACCGGAGCUAAUACCGGAUAAUAUUUCGAACCGCAUGGUUCGAUAGUGAAAGAUGGCUUUGCUAUCACUUAUAGAUGGACCUGCGCCGUAUUAGCUAGUUGGUAAGGUAACGGCUUACCAAGGCAACGAUACGUAGCCGACCUGAGAGGGUGAUCGGCAACACUGGAACGGGGACACGGUCCAGACUCCUAGGGAGGCAGCAGUAGGGAAUCUUCCGCAAUGGGCGAAAGCCUGACGGAGCAACGCCGCGUGAGUGAUGAAGGUCUUCGGAUCGUAAAACUCUGUUAUUAGGGAAGAACAAACGUGUAAGUAACUGUGCACGUCUUGACGGUACCUAAUCAGAAAGCCACGGCUAACUACGU
rnacentral:rRNA from 1 species